AUUGAACGCUGGCGGCAGGCCUAACACAUGCAAGUCGAACGAGCGGCGGACGGGUGAGUAAUGUCUGGGACACUGCCUGAUGGAGGGGGAUAACUACUGGAAACGGUAGCUAAUACCGCAUCCCAUCGGCUGUGCCCAGAUGGGAUUAGCUAGUAGGUGGGGUAACGGCUCACCUAGGCGACGAUCCCUCGCUGGUCUGAGAGGAUGACCAGACACACUGGAACUGAGACACGGUCCAGACUCCUACGGGAGGCAGCAGUGGGGAAUAUUGCACAAUGGGCGCAAGCCUGAUGCAGCCAUGCCGGGUGUAUGAAGAAGGCCUUCGGGUUGUAAAGGACUUUCAGCGGGGAGGCGUUACCCGCAGAAGAAGCACCGGCUAACUCCGUGCCAGCAGCCGCGGUAAUUC
rnacentral:rRNA from 1 species